rnacentral:ncRNA from 1 species
ACACAACUCUGGAGAGUCCCUUAAAUGGGCGCCGAAGGUGCACGGAUGCGACGUAUCCUAAUCUCUCAGGCUAAAGGACGGAGAA